GCAAGUCGUGCGCGAAAGCCUUCGGGCGAGUAAAGCGGCGAAAGGGUGAGUAACACGUAACCAACCUACCCCCCUGAUUGGGAUAACUGCGGGAAACUGCAGGUAAUACCGAAUAGUCCUAUACGGUGGCAUCAUCGAAUAGGUAAACGGUGGCUUCGGCUGCCGCAGGGGGAGGGGGUUGCGGCCUAUCAGCUAGUUGGUGUGGUAAUGGCAUACCAAGGCAAUGACGGGUAGCCGGUCUGAGAGGAUGGUC
rnacentral:rRNA from 1 species